GUCACAGCCCGUCCCGGAAUUUUUAAUUCCGAGGACAUGAAAUUACGGAAAUGUCCCUAAUACGUGACUAAGGUAUAAUUUUCACGUUCGUUAUAUCUAAGCUCCAAAAAAAUUUGGUAAUUAGAGUGGAGACUUAGACUUAAAUUUUAUGAUGGAAUUUUAUGAAAUUGGGAUUGGUUUGGACAUGUGGGAUCCCCACACCUCAAAACCCUCCCCAUUUCCCGUAUACUGUCCUUCAUACUCUCUCUCUUCCUCAGACCUCACUCUCUCUCUCUCUCACCCUCUCGAACACACAGGCAACCACCCAAAACCACCUAAAACUUAUACCAACGUCGGAUUUAAAGCUACCAUGGCAUUCCUGAGGACUCCACGAUCACGUAGACACCAAUUUCAGGUAAGUUUUACUUCGGAAAACCUAGAUUCUAAACUCCCCGUGAAAGUGCACUGUUCAUGAUCUUCGAAUUGACUUUGUUUUAGGACAAUCCAAGCUCAUAGCAAGCUUGGUGAGGUCCCAAGGAAGCUCGGAGUGCUUCGUUGGAAGUUUUUGGACGUAAGAACACGGAGAUCGACAAGUUCAAAGUUUGGCCGGAGCUUUCGAGGCGUUUUCCGGCGAAUCCCCGGCGAGUUAGGAGUCAAGGUAGGUAUCAAUCUCUUCGUCUCGUCAAGUACUACAACUUUCCUUUUUGUUUCACUCAAUUUCGUUGAGUAUUGAAGAAGUUAUACGCAUUUGAAAAAUACCCAGUUUCCGGCGACCUCCGAGGCUUUCGAGGCAGUUUCCGGCCAAACCACGGCGAACUAGGUGUUGUGCAAGGUACCAUUAUCUUUUUCUCUUCAAGGGCUACAACUUUCGUUUUUGAAUCACUUGAUUUCGUUGAGAAAUGACAAAGUUAUGGCAAUUUGAAAAACUGCCCAGAAAACGGCCGCCGGAAAAACCAGUCCGGCGACCCAAGGAAGAAGAAGGUGCUACAGUAAAAAUAAAAAAUAAAAAUAAAAUUAUUUUAAAAAUAUGUCGACGUCCGUGACGUCGAGUAGAUCACUGUGGUAUAUUCAUAUACCUAAAUUGAACACCGUAUGAGAAAGUUAUUAAGGAUUGUUGGUUAGGUGUUCAAAUAACGUUUUAUAGUUUUCACAUUUAGGUGAAAAUGUGAAUUGAUGAUCCGACCGUUGGAUCAUCACCAAACCUUGAUACGUUGUAAUACGUAAUAUUUGAGGAUUAUUGGAACUUACAGAUUGGGAAUCCGAUUUGCGGAUCUUCCGGAAUUGGAAUUGUAAGUCCAUAAUAUAAAAUGUUAACCGUCACUUAGUUUUGGAAAUUGACGGAGAUCCGACCGUUGGAUGGUAAUGAAAUUUUAGGAUGUUAUCCUAGAGAUAUAUUGUGGACCUCUGGAAGUUAUGGAUUUAAAAUCUGAGGGGUGGAUCUUCCGGAUCAAUCUACGUAGUGACGUAUUUUAUAUAAGUUAUAUAUUCUAUCGAUAUGAAUUCUGAGGUUGGAUUUGAUUACUAUUCUAGGCGGCGAUCGUCGUGACGCCUUGUUGUGAGGUGCUAGGGAGUUGUUGGACGAACUCCAGGUGAGUGGGCAGUUUUGUUUUCCGUAUAUAUAUAUAUACUUAACGUUUUCCCAGAAAUUGAAAAUGCAUGAAAUUAUGUUUAAAAUGAAAUGCAUAUGAGUUAUGUGGAAAAACGGGAAGUGAAAUACCAUGCAUAGAAUUGAUAUGAAAAGUAUAUAGAAAUGUGAGUUGAAAUGCCAUGCAUGAAUUAAUAUAUAUGAUGCAUAUGUAUGAAUUGGUGCGGUGGACGCACAAGUAAGAAUUGAUUUAUGAUGCAUAUGUAUGAAUUGGUGCGGUGGACGCACAGGUAAGAAUUGAUUUAUGAUGCAUAUGUAUGAAUUGGUGCGGUGGACGCACAGGUAAGAAUUGAUUUAUGAUGCAUAUGUAUGAAAUGGUGCGGUGGACGCACAGAUGAGUAUUUAAUUACUGUUAUGAUGAUGAUGAUGAUAUAUAUAUUGAGCUCAAAUCCUGCACCAUGGUUUAGUGCUUAUAUAGUAUUCACCGCAUCGCACGCUCGCCUUGGAUCCAAGUAGAUGCUAGUCGUACAGUCCACGCGGAGUGGGUACGACAGACCAGUCGCGAGAGUGUUAGUGAGAUUCCGACUGGUGGGUGACCUUAGAUUAUGUGCACAGAUGAUUUAUGAGAAGCACUAGAGCGUAACUUGCGUUGCAGAAGGCCGGACGGGUCACAGAGGUGACUCCGGUAGAGUGAUAAUGAUAGAUUUUGAGCUCUAGGUUCAACCGUACAGGGCUAUUAGAGGGCCUACGGUUGAUUACUUUCUUGCACCUGAUAUGAUUAUGUUGAUGCAUUCAUACCUUAUUACUGUUGAGAUGAUGUGGCAUGGCAUAAUUAAUAUGAGAAAUGUUGAGAUGAUGUGGCAUGGCAUAACUGAUAUGAAAAAUGUUGAAAAAGUGAAAUGAAGUAUUGAGAAUAUAUAUGUAUAUUUAUAUUUUACAUUUCUGGGAAAGUAUACAGGUUUUACGGAGAGGGGUUACAACGUUAUGAGAAAUGUUUGGAUUUGGAAAAGAAUUGUUUUACUGACCCACUCAAUUUUGGUUUUGCGCCCCUCCAGGUUCAGGAAUCACAAAGGUGUGGUGACUACGAGGAAUACGGCGGGGUUCUGACAGAUUGACAAAAUUAGGACUCACCUUCGGGUGUAUCAACUUAUAAAUUGUAUCUUAAAGCUUCCGUACUGUGCAAAUGGUUACGUCACUCUCACGUGACGGCCAGCAUGCCCUCAUUCGGGACGGGGUGUGUCAGUUGGUAUCAGAGCAUGGUUGCAAUCUUGGACAUCUUGAGAAGUUUCUAGUGAAUUCUGUCAGAACUACACCGCCUCGUAGCACACCACGUAGUUAGAGGAAUUUAGUCUCCCUAAUAUAGCGGUUUUGGGGGGAAACUAUUACUAUGGUGAUUCAGUCUAUUGUCUAAAGGGGCAUUUUAAGAUGGGUUAUGAGUUGAAUUUGAAUCACUUAAGAGAAAUGAUGAACCUGAGGGAGCGAAGUAACGGUUUAACCAUUUGGAAAAGAUGUUUCGGAUUAUGCAAGUCAAAGGAAUCUUCCUUCUGACAAGGGGUCGAGAUGACUACCUGGUUUGAGUAUGAACGUGUAUCUUGAUGGAAGCAGGAGUAUUAAUUGUUGUCACCAGAGGAAUCAGUCGAUUUAAAAUUGUUUAAGGACUUGUUUAAGGAAAAGUUUAUCCCUCCGGCAUUUAUCGAUGGUAGUAAACAAGAGUUUACAAAUAUGAGACAAGGAAGGUGAUGAUCGAGGGAUAUUAUAGAAAGUUUUCAGACUUGCCUCGUUCCAUCCAGAUAUUGUUGUUAAUUUGGUGGAGGUGUUAUGUUGUUUUAAGCUGGGUGGCAAAAAGGGAAGUGGUAUUUUGGGUGACCACUAUCCAUUAUACUUCUUACCAGGAAUAUACGAGAUGCUGUUGAGUCUUGAGGACUCUGAGAACAUGAGCAACGAGAAUAAAGAAGAAUAAGAAAUGAAUGGGAAUUAAAAGAAGACGAUAAAGUUAAUGAUUCGUCAUAUCAAGGAGAUAGAAAGAUUCAGAGCUUCGAAAGAAGUGAAGCUAGAGUUAAUUCUUCCAGCUGAGGUUUUAAUGUCGCUGGUCAGAGUAAAAGUGAUGGAUAUACUGGUAAUCCCAGAUAUUUGAGACAAGGUGUCUCGAGUAAAGGAAAUGUACCUUGUGCAGCAGGUACAAAAUUAACACUUUGGGAAGUGUGAAAUUAAUGAAUGUGUUUAUGUGAACAGAGGGGACACAGAAUUGUGAAUCGUCCCUAGAAUCAGUUGUACUCAAUAAUUUUCCAUGAUAUCAUAGUGUCGAUUCAGAAGAGUUAUAAACUUAGUAGUUUGGUCGGAUUGACUGUGAGUACAGAGAGAUUUGAUGAGUUAUAUGUUCAGCCGUACAGACCAUGAGAAGUGGAUUCGAUUGACACAUGAGAAAUUGGUGAGUUAUAGGCUCGGCCGUACCGACCACGCGGAGUGGAUCCGGCUGACGUAUUAUUGAGAUAAGAGUUGAAUCAACCGUAUUGGUCAUUCUAGUUGACUUCGGCUGAUAUAUUUCUUAUUAUGUAUGUUAUUACCUAGAGAGUAGUAAAUAAAUGUAGUUGAGACGAGUGUAUGUAUUUUGCCUUGAGUAACAAAAUAGUAAUGUUAUAUCUUUGAGAGUGGUUGCCUACUUAUCGAGACAACGAUGAUUUAUCAGUAUUGCGGGCUGCAGACCGUAAUAUUAAUAACUCAUUCGUGGAUUCGUUAAGCAAGCAAACCGGUAGGUUAUUUUAUGUUAGUGUUGUACUUAUUUAGAAUGCUUAAUAAUAAUAGAAUAUAUAUUGUAUCAGUUAAUUAUGUUCCAUUAGAUUGGUUGGUUAUAAUUGUGACAAGACGGAAUGUUACGGGAAACCAGUACUUUCCAUCGAUCUGGAUGACCAGAGAUUACUUUUGUAAGUAUGCAAAGUGGAUUGAGUCAGGCCGUUAUUUAUGCUGUGAGAGCAAAGAGAUUGUUUUCGAAAGGCUGUCAAAAAUACUUAGCUCAUGUGGUGCUAAAUGAUGUUGUUUGGAGUAGUGUGAAUAAUGUCGAAAGAGUUAGACUUUUCUUGAUGUCUUCCUUGAAAGUAUACCUGGAUUGCCUUCAGGCAGAGAUGAGGUUCAUUAUUGAUUUGUUGCCAGGUAUAAAUUUAUAUUGGAGAUUGGUUCAGGAUGAGUUAAGGGAAUUGGAAAUUCAGUUGAAAGAAUUGGUUGAUAAAAGUUUCAUUCAACCUAGUACAACACUUUUGAGGAGCCCCAGUUUGUUGGUGAGAAAGAAAAUGGACUUAGAGAUUGUUCAUUGAUUAUAGACAAUGAAGUCGGGUAACGAUUAAGAACCGUUAUCUAUGGUGAUGUACUGAUGUUUAUUUAACCAGCUCAGAAGUAAUUGCGAAGAUUCAAAGAUUGAAUUGAGAUCUGGUUACUACCAAUUGAAUAUUAUAAGUGACGUUGAUCAUAAGAUGGUUUCUGGACUUGUUAUGAUCCUUAUAAAGUUUGGUGAUGCUAUGUGGAUACUCAUGCGGUUUUAUGAGUUGAUGGAUGAAGUAUUCCAAUAAUGCCUUGAUAAUUGAUAUCAUUUUCAUUGAAGAUAUUCUGGCAUAUUCUGAGCCAGAGCAGAGCAUGUAAACGUAUUAAGUCGGUAGAACAAAGAUUGGAAGAAUGUCGAUUGUAUGCUAAGUUUAGCAAAUGCGAAUGUUGGAUGAAUCAAGCAGCAUUUCUGGGAUAUGUUAUAUAUUCUUAAGGUAUUCAAGUGAAUCCUUAAAAGGUAACAGAAAUUAAAAUUUGGAACAACCACGAGUCGUAAUUGAGAUUUGGAAUUUCUUAGCUUACCAGGCUAUCUUGGAUGGUUGUGAAAGAUUUUUUCAGUCAUUGCUUUGUCAUUGACGAGACUGUUGAGAAAAGAGGUUAGGUAUGAGUGGGAAGGAAUUGUAAGCAAAGGAUUCAACAACUGAAGUAUUUCCACACUCAUGCACGUAUUUUGGUAUUCCCAGAGAAUAGUGGUAAUCAUAAAUUUUUAGUGAUGUUUCUUGAAUGGUAUUGGAGGCAUGUUGAUGCAAAUGUUAGGGUGAUUGCAUACGUUUCACGAUAAAUGGAAUCUCAUAAGAUGAAUUACCCUACUGGUGAUUUGGAAGUCACGAUUACCAUUCUUGCUGUGAAGUUAUGGAGACAUUAUAUUUUAGUGGGAAUGCAAGAUUUUUUUUUUUACGAAUCCAAAAAGUCUUCAAUAUCCAUUACUUGGAAGGAUUUUGAUAUGAGGCAGCGAAAGUGAAUUGUAUUGCUUAAUGAACAUGAUUGUACGAUCAGGGUGAUCGUAAAGUUUGUUCUAGCUGAAGCACUUGGUGAGAAGACUACAGUAAGAUUAAUAUCUGGCAUGUUUGCCAAGAGUAUCAUCUUGUGGAUUGAAAACCAACGGAAGAAAAAUUAAGGAUGGAAGAUCGAGAAGAAGUUAUACUUGUUAAGUAACAAGUUAGUACAUUUACUCCAGUGUUGAGUAACAACCUUUCCCAGACAGUGCAACACUACUUAUUUGUUUUAUGGAAAAGAGAAUUGGAUUACGGAACUGCUAAGUUUCUUAAGUAUGUUGGUUGUGCAGUUUCCGAAGUAACGCCAUAAGGACCAUGAAAUGUGUCACGUGAGUCAGUUUUUGAUGACUUGUGAAUGGAAUGUUUCUGGGUAGAGAAAGAUUCGAUCAAGAAAGAGUUUUAGUAGACCCUGAGACUAUGGAUGAGUCUCCUCAAAGUAUUCAGGUGAUUAAGUUAACCUGAAGUAACCAGGAAUGGCAAAAGAGAUCAACAGAUGGAUAUGCCACUAAUCGAGUGUGUAAGGUAAAUGGUUUGAUAUUUUUGGAAAAUUCACCACGAACAGAAAUGACGAGAAUUGGAAAAGAGACAAGAUAAGAUUUAGACACAUCAGACCAUUUUUUUUAUCACUAAAGGAAUCAAUAAAGUUGCAUACAAGUUUGUGAUGCCUUCAGAAUUGGCUAAGGCACAUAAUGUAUUUUGUGUUCGAUGCGUUGUCACUAAGUGGCAGGGUCGUUACAUGGGACUUUGGUGCAACUAUUGAGAAUUAAGCCGGAUAUGAUUGGUGAGGAACUAAUGUCGACGUUGGAUUGGAAAAAGAAGGUCCUAAGAAUUAAGACAGAGUAAGUAGUAAAAGCUUUGUGAAGGAAAUCAUUCAGUAGAAAAUUAUGUGGGAGAAAGAGAAUCGGAUGAGAUUUAUCCGAGGCUAUUGUAUGAGUAUAGAUGAUUUGGUUGGUUGCUGGAAUUUCGGGGACGAAAUUCUAUAAGGAGGGGAGAUUGUCACAGCCCGUCCCGGAAUUUUUAAUUCCGAGGACAUGAAAUUACGGAAAUGUCCCUAAUACGUGACUAAGGUAUAAUUUUCACGUUCGUUAUAUCUAAGCUCCAAAAAAAUUUGGUAAUUAGAGUGGAGACUUAGACUUAAAUUUUAUGAUGGAAUUUUAUGAAAUUGGGAUUGGUUUGGACAUGUGGGAUCCCCACACCUCAAAACCCUCCCCAUUUCCCGUAUACUGUCCUUCAUACUCUCUCUCUUCCUCAGACCUCACUCUCUCUCUCUCUCACCCUCUCGAACACACAGGCAACCACCCAAAACCACCUAAAACUUAUACCAACGUCGGAUUUAAAGCUACCAUGGCAUUCCUGAGGACUCCACGAUCACGUAGACACCAAUUUCAGGUAAGUUUUACUUCGGAAAACCUAGAUUCUAAACUCCCCGUGAAAGUGCACUGUUCAUGAUCUUCGAAUUGACUUUGUUUUAGGACAAUCCAAGCUCAUAGCAAGCUUGGUGAGGUCCCAAGGAAGCUCGGAGUGCUUCGUUGGAAGUUUUUGGACGUAAGAACACGGAGAUCGACAAGUUCAAAGUUUGGCCGGAGCUUUCGAGGCGUUUUCCGGCGAAUCCCCGGCGAGUUAGGAGUCAAGGUAGGUAUCAAUCUCUUCGUCUCGUCAAGUACUACAACUUUCCUUUUUGUUUCACUCAAUUUCGUUGAGUAUUGAAGAAGUUAUACGCAUUUGAAAAAUACCCAGUUUCCGGCGACCUCCGAGGCUUUCGAGGCAGUUUCCGGCCAAACCACGGCGAACUAGGUGUUGUGCAAGGUACCAUUAUCUUUUUCUCUUCAAGGGCUACAACUUUCGUUUUUGAAUCACUUGAUUUCGUUGAGAAAUGACAAAGUUAUGGCAAUUUGAAAAACUGCCCAGAAAACGGCCGCCGGAAAAACCAGUCCGGC
rnacentral:lncRNA from 1 species